GUCUUUGUGGUGUAGUGUUCAACACGCUCGGCGCGUAACCGAGAGAUCCGUGGUUCGAUUCCCGGCGAAGGCG
rfam:Stegodyphus mimosarum contig3915, whole genome shotgun sequence.